GUACUGCUGAGGAGUCCCAUAAUAGGACGAAACGGCCGUCCAGUGU
rfam:Schistosoma rodhaini strain Burundi genome assembly, scaffold: SROB_scaffold0000593